CUUGCUCGAAUGAACAAUAAAUACCUAUUAUUAUAGACCAAUAAAAUGUAAAAAUUUGUUUAUUUUUUCAUUGUAAUUGUCAAAACAAUAGUAAAUCAUCAUAAAAAUAAAAAAUUUGGGAAUCUUUGUGUACUUACUCACUUUAAUUGAACGGUAUAAAACUGAGCACGCAGUAGCCAGUAAUUAUAUUCAUUACUAUUAACAGUACAUAUGGUUUUUUAAUACUAUUAUCUAGGUACUAAAUUAAUUAUCUACUAAUUUUUAUUUAAAAUAAAACAGUUUAAGUAUCUAUUACUCAAAACAAAUAAGUGAAAUGUAUCUCAUAAAUAAUCCCGAAUUAAUUUUUUUAAUUUUAUUUACGUUGGCGUAUGUGAAUUGCAAAGAUACUCCCGGACCGUAUAAUUCUCGUGAUGACAGUAGAGACAAACAAUGCACGAUUCCCUGGGUUAAGGCUUCAGAUGGAGAUGGCGAUAUCGCUACUUGCAAACUUAAGUGUCAAACGAAAUGCAGAUUUUUUCAACAAACGGACCAAUGGCGUUGUAGAUUAUCUAGUACAGGUUUAACCAAAAAAUGCGAAUGUUGUAGAGAUAAUGUUCCUCCACCCUAAUGAGAAAAUGCACCUGCAUAUCUGCUACGCAUGGCUGAAUACCGAAUCUGUAAUAUAAACCAAAAAUGGUAUGAAUUGUACCAAAAAUGGAAAUAUUCAACUCAAUAGAUCGUCAUGUACUCAUAUUUUGUAAUAAUAUUAUAUAAUUUGUAUUUGUUGAAAUUAAAUAAACACGAAUAAUAAUACUCAA